CUACCACAUCCAAGGAAGGCAGCAGGCGCGCAAAUUACCCAAUCCCGGCACGGGGAGGUAGUGACGAAAAAUAACAAUACGGGACUCUUUUGAGACCCCGUAAUUGGAAUGAGUACACUCUAAAUCCUUUAACGAGGAUCUAUUGGAGGGUAAGUCUAGUGCCAGCAGCCGCGGUAAAUCCAGCUCCAAAAGCGUAUAUUAAAGUUGUUGCGGUUAAAAAGCUCGUAGUUGGAUCUCAGCUCCAGACGGGUGGUCCGCCAUUCGGUGGUUACUGCCUGUUCUGAGCAUGUAUCGCCGGUUUCCUUUGAUGAUCUUCACCGGUUGUCUUGGGUGACCGGCAAGUUUACUUUGAAAAAAUUGGAGUGCUCAAAGCAUGCGUGACGCAUGAACAAUGUUGCAUGGAAUAAUGGAAUAGGACCUCGGUUCUAUUUUGUUGGUUUUCGGAACACGAGGUAAUGAUUAAGAGGGACAGACGGGGGCAUUCGUAUUGCGACGCUAGAGGUGAAAUUCUUGGACCGUCGCAAGACGAACUACUGCGAAAGCAUUUGCCAAGAAUGUUUCCAUUAAUCAAGAACGAAAGUUAGAGGUUCGAAGGCGAUCAGAUACCGCCCUAGUUCUAACCAUAAACGAUGCCAGCCAGCGAUCCGGCUGUGUUCCUCAAAUGACACGCCGGGCAGCUUCCGGGAAACCAAAGCUUUUGGGUUCCGGGGGAAGUAUGGUU
rnacentral:rRNA from 1 species